CGGAGUAACUUUUCUUUGUGUAUUGUUCUUGUGGACGAAUCGUACUCCGAAAUCGACGAAUCACGGUUUCAACCCAGCAGUGCAGAUUUAGAAAAUAUGUUUAUGUUCCAUGAUCGCAGUCUUUUAAAGGAUAAUUUUGAAAAUUGUAAAUUCUACAGAAGACGAGCAACAUUAGAUCACAGUUCUGUCAAGUUUACACAGUCUGCUUUUCAGAAUCCGUUUCAAUUUCUAGACAGUGAUGAAACAGCCGAGGAUGUCACGAAAUAUACAAAAUAUAUCACGUCAACGGGAGGUAACCCAGGGUUUAAGUCAACUGUGCGAUCAUCUGUCUGGGCUACUUAUAAAGCUGAGCAGUUUUGGAAGCAAAACUCAGUCAGUUAUGUGUCAUGGCGAUACAUUGGUACAAAAUCAGGAAUCAUGAGGACUUAUCCGGGAAUUUUGAUGCAUAAAAGCUUUGACCAUGAAAAAAG